rnacentral:rRNA from 1 species
AUUGAACGCUGGCGGCAGGCCUAACACAUGCAAGUCGAGCGGAGCGGCGGACGGGUGAGUAAUGCCUAGGAAUCUGCCUGGUAGUGGGGGAUAACGUCCGGAAACGGGCGCUAAUACCGCAUACUAUCAGAUGAGCCUAGGUCGGAUUAGCUAGUUGGUGGGGUAAAGGCCUACCAAGGCGACGAUCCGUAACUGGUCUGCGAGGAUGAUCAGUCACACUUGAAAUGGGAACAGGGCCAGGAUCCUACGGGAGGCAGCAGUGGGGAAUCUUCCGCAAUGGACGAAAGUCUGACGGAGCAACGCCGGGUGAGUGAUGACGGCCUUCGGGUUGUAAAGCUCUGUUAAUCGGGACGCGGUACCGGAAUAGAAAGCCACGGCUAACUACGUGCCAGCAGCCGCGGUAAUAC